UACGUAGGGUGCAAGCGUUAAUCGGAAUUACUGGGCGUAAAGCGUGCGCAGGCGGUUUGGUAAGACAGAUGUGAAAUCCCCGGGCUUAACCUGGGAACUGCAUUUGUGACUGCCCGGCUAGAGUGUGUCAGAGGGGGGUAGAAUUCCACGUGUAGCAGUGAAAUGCGUAGAUAUGUGGAGGAAUACCGAUGGCGAAGGCAGCCCCCUGGGAUAACACUGACGCUCAUGCACGAAAGCGUGGGGAGCAAACAGG
rnacentral:rRNA from 1 species